rfam:Macrostomum lignano uti_cns_0045800, whole genome shotgun sequence.
GCCCCGGUGGCACAAUCGGUUAGCGCGCCGUACUUAUAAUGCGGAGGUUGUGAGUUCGAUCCUCACCCGGGGCA